GUUGUCAUCGUUCAACGUUCUUGAUCGCUCCGUAGAUCUGCAUCAAAGGUUUCAAUUGUCACAAGAGGUAACGAUUCUAUCACUGAUCAUGCCCAUUCGUAAGGAUCACUAAACGAGAAAAUUUUAAAUUCCGUUGCAUUUUGGAUCGCAAUUAUCCUUUAGACAUAACCAUGGACUUCAUCACUCACCUACCUUCCUCUCAUGGCAAAACAGUAAUCUGGGUCAUUGUUGAUAGAUUCUCC
rnacentral:lncRNA from 1 species